AACGAACGCUGGCGGCGUGGAUUAGGCAUGCAAGUCGAGCGAGAAAGGGGUAGCAAUACCCCGAGUACAGCGGCGAACGGGUGAGUAACAGGUGGAUAACGUGCCCCAAAGUGGGGGAUAACUCCGAGAAAUCGGAGCUAAUACCGCAUAAGGCCAUUUGGACCCCGGUUUGAAUGGUUAAAGGCUUCGGCCGCUUUGGGAUCGGUCCGCCCCCGAC
rnacentral:rRNA from 1 species